rnacentral:lncRNA from 1 species
AUAUCAUAUACUAUAGAAUAUGAACUCAAUAAUAGAGUGACUAUUAAAAAGCACAUGUAAAGUUACCAGCACACUGAAAUUUUACUGCAAACCUAGCUUUUGUCUUUAUAUUUUAUGAAGACAUUAACAAGUAUAUGCUGUAAAUACUUCAGUAAUUUUGAAAUGAUGAGAGCACUAGAGUAAACUGUAGGGGAUGUUCUGUGGUAAUACUUUUAUCCGUAAAGCAUGCACCCUCCAGAAAAACCGUGCCUUUAACACUGAAUUUUUAUGCCUUGUUCAAAUAGGUCAUUUUAAGUAGCAAUAAAGAAUAUCCUAAAGAGACAUCAAAUAAUAAUCCUAGCAUCUUCUACUGUGAGAAUAAUGGAAAUUGACAUUGUGAAGUACAUGGAUAAACGUGAAAGAAAACUCCCCCUCCACCCUGAUAGAUACAUGGAAAUAUGUCCACAGCUGCUUUUCUUCUGUCUGCCCAGGGAACCAGGCAUAUCUACUAUCACACAUGCUUGAGUAGCUGCCAG